UAAGCUGUUGCAUAUAGAUUGACCGGCUACUGUACAUUUUGCUUAAUGAAUUUUAUAUGACAUUCUGUGUUGAAGUCUAAAUAAGGGUGUUUUCAGACCUGUACAUUGUUUGCUUUGUUUCGAAGCAGGGACUUAAUUUGUUACAAUAUUGCAUUUUCUUCUAAAUUUGGUUCUUGUUCAAGAGGCAACAUUGCAAAGCGUACAAAACUGUUUACGCAGGUCACAUGUGAGUAAAACUGUCAUCUAAUUGGUCAGAGUUCACCUGUUAACGUUCCUCUGCAUCAUUCAUCGAGAUGAAUUGAUAAGUUCGCUCCGCGUGCUUAUUGUAGCUUUAUAGCUAUGAAUGUAGCUGUUACUCCCGCUCUCAGUAUCCACUGACUAACCUCAACAUAAACAACUACAUUGAAAUAAGAGCACAUGCAUUUUUAUUUACAGCCAGCGGGUAUCAAGGCCUCAUCUAGACAGCAUUCCUGUAAUGCGCGGAGAAUAGCAAUUAAUUACACAUUUUAAUAUGGAGAGCUACUCUUUGGUUUUUGACUGCAAUAAAUAUUCUCACAGAAUCAGAAACUGAGUGCUGCUUUUAAUAUAGCAUAUUUACUGUUAUGAAUUAUGAUACUGCUUGGUUUUUUGGUCUGUUGGGUUGGAUUGCUUUCUCACCAUGAGUGAUCUCCAAUCCAGAGUCUGUUUGCAAUCACGCUGAGAUCACCUCUUCAAGGAGGUCUCUGUACACUUAUUUGGUCCACUUUAGGCACGCACCCGAGUCACACCUGCCCAAACGAACCACACCAAGAAGGACAACGAACUCCAGAGCGAUUCGACAAAUCUAAAUGAGGCAGGUGUAAAAGAACCCUAAAGAUAUGCGCUUUGUAUGUAUUUUGACUCAGAAUUGAAUGAAGAGUGAAUAGUUUGAAGCCCAAGUUGCGUGUGUGAGACUGCACUUUUAUUUUCUUUCCCAGAGCAAUAACAUCAUUUUGGAUGUUUACCCGUUUUUGCUGCUUAGUAAAAUUUCUAAUUGAAACCUGUGAAAUUUACACAACCGUGGAAUAAAAUCUUUUAUUGAUAUAUUUUA